CUCCUGCGCGAAGGCCAGCGAGAUGAGCAGCAGGGGCAGCCCCACCGCAAUGCACGUGACCAUCUUGUCCACAGCCAGCUCCAGUCGCAGCCCCUUGAACUUGGGCUCCGUGGGCUCCUUCAGCAAGAAAUCCGAGAACACGUACUCCGUGGCCAGUUGAGCGAUGGCCAUGGCUGCGGCGCGCCAGGCUCGACCAGGAGGUCCGGGUACAGCCGGCGUCGGGAAAGCUGCGCGGCGCCUUCACCCAGUCACCGGCCGGGCGCGCGGCUUUCGCUUUCCCUUUGCCUGCUCCCGCAUCCCGCCUGCCUUUGUGUCUCGGUGCCUCAGGCUCCCAGCGACUCCGCUGGGCUCUCGCGCUCGCUGCCUCCGCCGCCGGCGGGGCGGGGCGGGGCGGGAACCCGAGAGCUCCGCUUCCUGCGGUUCCACCCCGCACGCCCGUGCAAGUCCCCGGGCCGCGCGCGGCACUCGGAUUCGCGCCUCUCCCGCGCACCCCCAGGCGCGGGAACCACGCGCGGAACAAAGCGCUUCCCUCUGGCCCUGCCCCUCCGCGCCGCCCUGGCUGCCGAAGCGGCCGCCGGGAUAGCCCUGCGCUCACAGCCAGCUGCGCCGCGCUCUUCCGGAACCAUGCGGGGAAACCAAGUACCCAG
rnacentral:lncRNA from 1 species